rnacentral:rRNA from 1 species
GACGAACGCUGGCGGCGUGCUUAACACAUGCAAGUCGAACGGAAAGGCCCUGCUUUUGUGGGGUGCUCGAGUGGCGAACGGGUGAGUAACACGUGAGUAACCUGCCCUUGACUUUGGGAUAACUUCAGGGAACUGGGGCUAAUAACGGAUAGGAGCUCCUGCUGCAUGGUGGGGGUUGGAAAGUUUCGGCGGUUGGGGAUGAACUCGCGGCUUAUCAGCUUGUUGGUGGGGUAGUGGCUUACCAAGGCUUUGACGGGUAGCCGGCCUGAGAGGGUGACCGGCCACAUUGGGACUGAGAUACGGCCCAGACUCCUACGGGAGGCAGCAGUGGGGAAUAUUGCACAAUGGGCGGAAGCCUGAUGCAGCAACGCCGCGUGCGGGAUGACGGCCUUCGGGUUGUAAACCGCUUUCGCCUGUGACGAAGCGUGAGUGACGGUAAUGGGUAAAGAAGCAGCGGCUAACUACGUG